rnacentral:lncRNA from 1 species
AACAUUACACUUAAUUCACUUCUGCCUAAAGCCUUCUUCACCUCGACACUUCUCCUUUAUCGGGAAACUGCGAUUACGCAUCGAGAUCUUCAUAUCUCAUCGCUCUUCCUCUAAAUUCACAUGUAAAACAUUGUUGCCUUUGUUCAUUAGGUGCUGAAAGAAUCUCCAAGACGCAGGUGAUUCUCGUCUGCUUUCUCUACUUUGGCUUUUGUGAUUUUCGAAUUGUUCAUAUGAUUUUGUGGUUUGAUUGGAUUAUUUCAUUGAUCUGUUGGAGGAGAGUUUGACUUGGCUUAUGUUGGACGUACAUGCAUUACAUUCUGUUGUUUUCAGCUAGUUUUUGUUGUGAGAAGUUAUUCACACGUUUUCGUGUAUUUUCGUAUACAAUCUCUCAUCUCUGUGAUGUUUUUGUCAUAAGCGAAUGAUCCUUUGUUUCGUUUUGGUUUCUAUUUGAUUAGCUGCUUUUGAUUUCUUGGGUAUAGUUUCUGGUAUUAAUUUAAUCUGCUUUCUAUUUGAUAUCCAGCCAAUCGAAAUUGUGAAAGGGUUUAAGGUUCUUGAAGCCAAAAUCUACUGCUCCACAAUCUAUAAGGUGAAAUAAAGUAGAAAUAUGAUUCUGUUGAACUCAUAGUGCUAAUUGAUGGUGUUUGAUUUUAUGGUUUUAGUUCUUCGUGCGAUUCCUUGCUUGAUACCAAUCCUGUCAUAUUACCAAGGGAUAUAUAAUUAUUGAAGCUAUGGCGACUGUCUCCACUAUACAUAAGGUACAAUUUAUAAAUUCACCACAUUCAUAGUUUUGAUCAUCAAAUUCAUCAGAAACGUUUGUUUUCAAUUCGUUUUCAGCUUCUCAUGGUUAUGCAAAUUACUGUGAAUUUAUAAUUUGUGAUUCUGCAUCUCUUUGUCUGAUUGAACUUUGCUUGUUUUCACCUAGUAUUAUGAUGAAUAAUAAAUUAUUUCUAGACAUAUGGUUUGACGGACAUGUCUUCACUUUUACUAUGAAUUAUCUUCCCCACCCCCAAUAAAUGGCGAUUUUAAUAUUCAAUUUUACUGAAGCAUCAAUUUGGACAUGUCUCAUGUGUAUCAGUUUUAUCUUUAUCUAACAAGCAUUAGUAGGGAGUCUAGGGACUACAGCUGCGACAUCAAUUACCACAAUAUUAGCUCGAGCUAACCUUAACAUUUAUUGCUUCUGCCUUCAGCCAUUAUUACAAUGAUCAUGAGACUAUGUACAUAAAAAUCUCUAGUCUUUCCGUAUGAUCUUAAUGAUCAGGAUGGCCAUAUUGUGAACCACAGCAUUUCUAGUUCAUUUGAGCCAUUCUCUCUUUGGAUUGUAUGACAACAUUGGCAUAAAACUGGUAAACAACUUCUGUGUGCAACGUGUCAUUGCUGCAGUUGAAGCCUGUUUCAAGUGUCAAUUUUAUGGUCAUUUGAUAAGACAAACAAUGGCUGAAACCAUUUUUAGGGUGUGUGUGUGUGUGUGUGUGUUAAUUAGGGAUGCAUAGAGCUAACCCGAAAUUCAUCACAUCUUUUGGUGCACCAUUUGUUUGCUUUUGUGGCUGGCUUAGCUCAAGAUUAAUAGGUAUAAAAGGAUAUCCAUCGUUGAUGCUGUGCAUAUUCUGGGGAACCCUGUUUUCUUCGCUUGUGCUUCCCGGGCCAUAAACCUAAAUCAGAACUUGCUUUAAUUUAGACCGAAAUUUACUUUGACAGUUGACUUCUGGCCUACAUUUUAUUCAUCAUACAAGUUUGAUACUUAGUCGUAGUCUGUCAAUACCUUUUUCUUCAAAUCCUCAUUUUCCUUGGCAACAAGAUUCAUCUUCUUGUGAAGUUCCAUAUUCUCUUGAUGGAUGACGUUUCCCUGUAACAAGAUCAAUGAUGCUAUCCCCAAUUCUAAACAUGAAUAUAAAAUAGAAACUCUAGCUUGUUAAUUGUCUCAAAAGUGGACCUUCUGAUUUAAGUCGUUGAUUUGAGUAGUCAGAGUUUGUUCCUGCGAGAGAUAAAUAAAUUAAAUUAAAACUUAUAUGAGAACCUGUCCAUAUAGUUAUGCUAGACAUGAUUGUUACUUGCCUUUUUCACACGAACGCCUUUCAAGCUCAUCUCUAGUUGAUUUUCCAGAUUUUGGAGGUCUCUGAUGUUCAAUCCAGCAAGUUCUUCUCCCAAAAGCUUCCUGCAACCGCAACAGAAGAGGCAAGUCAUUUCAGAUAAAAGAUGAGAGGUAUCAGCAUUUUUUAGGAGGCCCUGUGCCUAUUGUAGUCCUACUAACUGAAUUUCAUUAUACACAUGCCUCUUCUACAUUUCUUUUAAAUCAAGAUGCUUUUGAUGUAUGCACAUUUUUAACGCAUGUUCUGUGUCUCAAGUUCGUAUGACAAUAUAUGCAUAUGCAUCCUCCAUAUGUUAACUGUUUCGUGUUUCUAUAACAAGACGCACAUUGCAGAAUUAUUUAGAGUGGGAUUGAGAUGAUAUAUGCCGUCUACAUGACAAUCGCAA